AGCGGAAGGUGAAGGAGGAGAUAUAGUAGACUCCCUAAAGGCCGGUAUAGGUAAAACCUCAGAUAUAUCAAGAUGGUCAGAAUGGUCAGAAGAGGUGAAGAAAGGUUUAGACUCAAAAAAUGUGACAUCGGCUGACAUAAUGUACCUACGAAGAUCAAGUGAAUAAAAACGAUAGCCCUUCUGAGCACGAGAAUAACCAAGGAAGACACACUUGAGAGCACGAGGAGC
rnacentral:lncRNA from 1 species